GUCCACGCCCUAAACGAUGGAUGCUAGUCGUAAGAGGUAUCGACCCCUCUUGUGACGCAGCUAACGCAUUAAGCAUCCCGCCUGAGUAGUACGGCCGCAAGGUUGAAACUCAAAUGAAUUGACGGGGACCCGCACAAGCGGUGGAGCAUGUGGAUUAAUUCGAUACAAACCGAAGAACCUUACCCAGGUUUGACAUCGAUGGCAAGCCAGGGAAACCUGGCCCUCCCCCAAAAGGGGACCUGAAGACAGAUGUUGCAUGGCUGUCGU
rnacentral:rRNA from 1 species